AGUGGUAGGAUGGCCUCCACUCUGAUGUUGGGGCAAUUAGUUUUAUCUUUGAUGUUCUGGGUUGGAUCAGAGCAGACUACAAAUAAGGUGAAACAGACAGAGGUGCCAAAUGCUGGAAUAUUUUGCUUGGUUGUAAAUAUCUAAUAAAUCUUUUUCCUUUUUAAAGACUCCUAGUGAUAUGGGAAAUUGAGCACUUAAAGUGCUCACUUAAGAAAAGCCCAGGAGCCACUGGACAUCCUUGAGUAUUUGGAGCUUUUAAAUUCAGAAUUACUUGUUUCUUUUCUGGGGAUGGCAUCCUUUAGGGUCUGUAGGCAGUGCUGCUGGAAAUGCUCAGAGAAGAAGUACAGCUUGUGGGUCCCUCAGGUGAUGACAAUAUCAUGGAUCUUUAGUAAAGGGACAAUGAGGAUCAGGGAAAAUGUGCAAAACUCUGAUGGAUAGGCAUCAUAUCCUGUGAGUCCAGUUUUGAGGGCAGUUGAAGGGGGACACAAGUCCUUCUGAAGCUAGGUGCUAUCAGCAGUGGCCUGAAUUUAUCAUGGUUUAUCAAGAAGGUAUUCUGUGGGGUUGCUGAGAGCUUCUUCCUAGCCCCAAGGACUAAGGGAUGGAGUGCUGUGAGACUCAGAACAAGGCUCUGUCAGAUUCUGUUGAGCAUUAAAUCACAGUAAUUUUCUUCAGCUUACAUAGUGGUGUUUAUGCUGGGCACAUACACUUGAAGUGCCUACCCUGACCCAGAAUAGGCACAACAAUCCCUCCCCCGACCACCUCUGAGGUGUUGGCUAGAAGAAGGGGCAGAUACAUAAGUCUCCAUGUUAGGCUUCUAGGCUCUUUUUCACCCACUGAGCCCUCACUCUUUUCCUAAGUUUGGCCUGUCAGAACCAAGCCACUGAAACCCAGUUAUAAACUGAAAUGCCCUCUGUCUGCUAACCUCACUCCUUAACAGUUAUCUUCACCCCCAAGGCUGCAACAUACUUUAAUUCUGGAAAUUUUAGGAAGUGCCCUUGCAGACCUCUCUUUGUUUUGUAAGAAGGGGAUCUAUCCACCAUUCAUCUUCCAUGAUGAAGUUGAUUCUUAAAUGUCAUACUAAAAUGUAUUUAUCUCUAAAUAAAACAAUUUAGCCCACAGUAGCUAGGAAUGUGUUUAAAUUUCGUCUUACAUAUAGUUCUAAUUCUUUGAGGUUGUAUGAAGUUUUUGGGGGAAGUACACAUAUUUUGUAAAAUAAAUACUUUCACAUUUCAAGUUACUCUCUUUAAUAUAAGUUCCAAGAACCUUGUUUGAAAUUUCAUUUCAUGGUCAAUUCAGUAUAUAAUGAAUAGCUUAGGGAGGUAAUGGUGUGAAUAACCUGGGCCAUGACAGACAUGGAUAUGUUUUUUCUCCUUAAUUUAUACCUAUUGUGGAGAUGGCAUGGGUGAAUAUAACCCUAAUUAUCUUCAGGGAUAGAGUUCCUGUGUAAUCUGCCAAAAUCCAUGGAUUGCUAUAUAUACAACAGUGACUAUGCUCCUCAGGUUCUCACCCACUGGGGAGCCCAGAACGGGUUGCUGCAAGGGUCUCUCACUUUUUGUCCCUUGAUAAAGGAUCUGUGUUAUGGCUGAUGCUUGGGCUUUCUGCAGGGUGCACCUCCAUCUGAAAGAGGGACAAGUUGCUUUACAAGGAAGCUCUUCCCAGCCUAGGCCUUUAAUCAUUUAGAAGCAGUGUCCUUCUAUGUAUUUGGAGAACUGGGGUGCACAUUUAUUGACAAACCUUCCAGAUGUUCAAUCCAUCACGAAACACUUGUUUCUUUCAGAACUCUAUUUCUUCCAGAAAUAUAUGUGUUUCCUAUCACAGCUGUAAUGAAUUACUAUAAAUGUUGGAGGCCAGAAGUUCAAAAUCAACUUCACUAUACUAAGUCAAAGUAUCAGCAGGACUGAUUCCUUCUAGAAGUUCUAUGGGAGAAGCCAUUUUCUUGACUUUUCAAGCUUCUAGAAACUGCCUGAAUUCUUUGGCUUGUGGCCACUUUUCUCUGUCCUCUAAGCCAGUGAUACAGCAUCUUCAAAAAGCUUUCUAGAAGUUCCUUGUUUCUGUUUUGACAUUACUGUCCGACUUACUCUGACAACUCUCAGGUCCCUCUUAGGCAAACCCUUAUUAUUAUUACAUUGGGCCCGUUCAGAUAAUCCAGAAUAAUCUCCCCAUCUCAAGACCCUUAAUUUGGUCAUAUGUGCAAAAUCCUUCAUGCCAUGUAAAGUAACAUUCACAGAUUUCAGGGAUUAGGAAGUAACAUCUGUGGUGGUGGGUAUUAUUUAGGUUACCACAAGAAAGUAUAAAUGUUGAAGUAUGAAGUUGAUGACCUUCUUUGUGGUAUGGCUUUAUGCAAGGUCUUUCACAAAUAAUUUCAGUAAAAGUCCUUUUUUUGGUAGAAAUAUUUUUUAAAAGCUUUUCAGUAUAAAACUAUCCUAUUUUUCUAUUGUUAAACAAACAAGCAGUUUAUAGUUUAAUCACAGACUGUUUUAUAAAUGUGAUUUUAAACAGCCAAUUAUUUUGGAUAUAUUUGAUAUUUUGCUCUUCAGUGUUAUGGCAAUAAAUUAAUUUAAUAUUCACCCAGUUGUCAUGUGCCAUUUCUUAAGAGUUCUACUUUAGCUCAGCACUCAUUAGAAUUUCCUAAUAAACACUGCAAAAUGACUCCAUCCUGAAAUAUUGUCAAAUUACUAUGGAGAAGUUACUUACACACAAAGCUCAUGUAAUCAGGAAUAGGAAUUCUGAACACUGAUUUUUCUCUUUCUCUUUUUUUUAUCUGUCUGUCUCUGUCUGUCUGUCUGUUUCUUGGAAACUUCACUCUGUGGAAGGCCAGCUGCAAUGCUGUUACAAAACCUUAUGGGGAGACCGUUUGGUAAGGAAUGAAUUCCUUCAGCUAAGAGUUAGCAAGGCCUGCCAACAAUACCAUGCUAAAAAGAGCAUAAAGAGAAGCUUUGAAUAAGGUGUGAAUUGCUCCACAAGGGUAGGAUGUGAUCGGUGCUGAGACACUGGGAAACUUUUCUCAAAAGAAAAAUGAAAAGUAUUCUCAUCUGGGAAAUAAAGAGCUGCAUUCUAUGAACCCAAAGCCGCCUGUGAACUCUGCAAUUCCACAAAUCUAACAUGCUGUGAUCAGAAAAAUAAACUGAAGAGUUGAAUUUGAUAAUUCAGGUAAAAAUAUCUAGCAUAUAUUAAAUAAAAGACAAGAUGGAGUACUUGAUUUACUCACUUAUCAAAUGUAUAUUGCACAUUUACUAUGUCUAUGGCACUGGACUAAGUGGUAUGUGUAUGUGUGUGUAUUGAGUAUGGUAGGAAUCCUAAAAUGAGGCUUAGAGUCUAGUUAAAGGAGAUUGGGUGUGUACAUGAGUAACGCUCACUGACAAGGGCUCUCCAUUUUAGGAAAUUAACUAGACAAUUGAGCUACAAUUCAUUUUAUCUUUUAAGACAGCACUUGAUGUUCUGAGAUAAAUGGCUCAAUCUGAAGUUACUUCAGAGUGAAAUAAUUUUAUCGCAUAGCAGAACAUCACAAUUUGUAGGCACAAAGCUUGCCAAGUCCAUAAGAAUAUGUGGGUGUACUUGUUUAAAAAAAAACAUGUGAUUAGGUCAGAAAACUCUUCCCCAGGGUCUGCCUUAACUGAAGACAAAUAAACCAAUCCCAAUCCUGACUGAUAGUAAUAAUAAUUUAUAAAACAGGUGGUAGAGCUGAACAGAAAGAUUAGAGAAAGGUGUUAAUCAAAGUCACAGUGGCAUGCUUAUACAAGAAAGCAGCAAGAAAAUAGAUGGUUGGUGUCUGGGACUGCUGGGUUCUUUUAGGUAAUUUUUUAGCUUUGAUUAAUGAUGCCACCAGACUACAGUGCCUAAUCCUAUAUAGCAUAUUACAAAUCCAUAUCUUUCUUCACACAGGCUCCUCCCAUCCACAUUGCAAACUGUCUGCAGCAUCCUCAUUUCUGACGCAUAAACACAUUUUCUUAGUUUAGGUUUAAUUUUUUCUUAAAUGCUCAGUCAUAGAGCAAAAGAUGAUUGCAAAUAUAGGUGGAUAUUUAUAAUUUAUAUACUAAGGUGGAGGGAUAUAGAAGGAGGUACAUGAAUACAGACUUCGUUGUUUUAGGCAUAUGUAGGAACAUUGAAGACUUCCCCCCCCUCCCGCCCAGGAAGACAGGGAAGGUUUUAGAGUGGUAAUCUGGGAUGAAAAAGAAGAAUGGGAAAGUAACAUUAAAAUAUGUUAAUUUCAAUAUUCCAAGUGAAUGACCAUUAAGAUUUGUGAAAGUGGGAAUCAAGAAACUUAAAAUUAUUAUAUUAUUAUCUAACCUACAAUCUAUACACAUUUUCUCAAUAUUUCCAAUAAUGUCUUUUAUAGCUUUUGUUUUGUUGAAAGGACAUCCAUAUUGGGAUUCUGGUAUAGACCUAGAGCAUUAAUUCAUUGUUAUAAAUGUAGAUUUGAGAGUCACUCGCUAGGAUGGAAGUGAAGUUACUAAGGCAAUAGUUAAGGUGAAAUCACUAUAGAAAGAGAGAAUAAGAAAUAAGGUUAAUUAAGGACAGAAUCGUGAGGUAAUUUUAUAUUAACUUUUAAAUUUUCAAAAUUAUUGUAUAGUCAGUAUUUUCCAUAUUUAGUCAAUCAAAAUUAUUUAAUUAAUAUUCUUGUUUGUGACAAGUUAUGAAGUUAUUAAAGGGUGGAACACUUGGUUUUCUGACUCCUAAGCAUGUGGUCCUUCUACUAUAACACAAUUACAGCCCAUGAAUACAUCGUUUGGGUUCUGGAAGACACUUCAGUGUGGCUUAUUCAAUUUUCCAAAGAUAGUUGUAAUAAGAUUUCCUAAGACACAUGUUCUUUUGCAAUGUGACUUGGCAUUCCCCCAUCAAGGGGUAGGAUCAGCAAUCGGGUCAUGCCGUAGAGAUACAAAAAGUAUGCUUCCCUUUUUACUGGUGACAUAUAAUGUAAUCAUUAUGAGUUAAUAAAUACAUACUUGUUUAUAUCUUCAUAUUAUUCUAAGAAAGAUUUAAGGCAGCUGGAGAUAUUUUGUGGCAUUACUGCUUGAAGUCCUCAGAAUGUAUAUUUAGAUCACUGAACCUAUUUUUCUAACCAAGUGUAUGGUUUUCUUUCCACAUAAUCUUUUCGUAUUGCUCCAGCUGUUCCCUUUCAGAAAUGUCUUCUUUCAAAAGUUAUGCUUUAUUUUUAUUUUUUCUAUUUAUUUACUUCUUUGUGUGUAUGUGUAUUAAUUCCAGGAUAAUUAACACAGUGCUAUAUUAGAUUCAAGUGUACAAUAUAGUGAUUCAACAAUUCUAAAUAUUACUCAGUGCUCAUCAAGAUAAGUGUUCUCUUAAUCCCCUUCACCUAUUUUAUCCAUCUCCCAUUCACCUUCCCUCUGGCAACUACCAGCUUGUUUUCUAUAUUUAUUACUGUUUUUUGUUUGUCUCUUAAUUUUGUUUGUUUUGUUUCCUAAUUUCCACACAUGAGUGAAAUUAUAUGGUAUUUGUCUUUCUUUGACUGACUUAUUUCACUUAGCAUUAUACCCUCAAGAUCUAUUCAUAUUGUUACAAAUGGCAAGAUUUCACUCUUUUUUAUGGCUGAGUAAUAUUCCUUUCAAGAGUUAUUAUACCUACCAUUUUAGAGACAAAUUAUCUAGUACAAUUAGUCUCAUGAGUUGAUGGAAAUGCUUACAUCAAACCAGAUGUCUAAUAAUGUCCUAUGUCCACUAGUCAGAGGCUUAGGCAAGGAGUGAUAGGACAUAAGCAGAAAAUAACUACUUUUUGACUUGGAGCCUCUGAGAAAAAGGAAGUAGACCUCAGUGAGUGAUGUAGGUGGAAAAGAAGAGGGUGAAAGAAACCACUAUCUGUAACUCAUUGACUAGCAUCAGGUUU